rnacentral:rRNA from 1 species
UACGUAGGCAGCGAGCGUUGUUCGGAGUUACUGGGCGUAAAGCGUGCGUAGGCGGCGGCCCAAGUCUGGUGUGAAAUCUCCCGGCUUAACCGGGAGGGUGCGCUAGAAACUGGGUUGCUGGAGUACCGGAGAGGCAGGCGGAAUUCCUGGUGUAGCGGUGAAAUGCGCAGAUAUCAGGAGGAACACCGGUGGCGAAGGCGGGUCUCUGGGCCGAUACUGACGCUGAGGCGCGAAAGCUAGGGGAGCAAACGGG